rnacentral:rRNA from 1 species
GACGAACGCUGGCGGCGUGCUUAACACAUGCAAGUCGAACGGGAACGCCCUGCUUUUGUGGGGUGCUCGAGUGGAGAACGGGUAAGUAACACGUGAGUUACCUGUCCCUGCCUUUGAGAUAUCUUAAGAAAACUGGGGCUCAUCGCGCAUAGGAUCUCCCGCUGCAUGAUGGGGGUUGGUUAGUUUAGGCGGUUGGGGAUGGACUGGCGUCCUAUCGCCUUGUUGGUGAGGUAGUGGCUUACCAAGGCUUUGACCGGUAGCCGGGCUGGGCGGGUGACCGGCCACAUUGGGACUGAGAUGCGGCCCAGCCUACUACGGGAGGCAGCAGUGGGGAAGAGAGCACAAUGGGCGGAACCCAGAUGCAGCAACGCCGCGUCGGGGAUGACGGCCUUCGGGUAGUAUUGCGAUUUCGCCUUUGACGAGGCGUGAGUGACGGUAAUGGGUAAAGAGGCACCGGCUAACUACGUG